GGAUUGGUUGUUGCUAUCGCGCUAUACUUGAAGCAUUAUAUAUAGAUUACUAGAUUGACAAAGUAAUUGAAAAUUUUGACUUUUCACAUAUGACUUUUCGUAUUUUUUCUUUUUCUAUUUCUUUUAGUGUUUUAAUAAUAACUAAUUUUAAUAUUGCACAUUUAUUAUUAUCUAUUAUAAAUGUUUUUAAAUUAUAAUAAUAUUUUAUAAUUAUGUAUAAAUAUAUCAAUUUAUAACAUAUAAUAUAUGAUAUAUAAUAUAAUAAUAACUGCAAUAAUUUAUUUUUUUUUAUUUCGAAUAAUAUAUAAUAAUUCUAUUUUUUUAUUAAUUUUUUUUUUUGAUGUAUAAUAAGAGAAAAUAUAUGAAAUCCUUAUAUCAAGACGAUGUUGUUUUUAUGAAAUUAAAUUUCAUACAAUUGAAUAACGUAAAAAAAUAUAAAUUUUAAUUAUUAAAAAAGUUAGAAAAAUAAAAUAAGAUUUAUUAUACAAGUAUAUAAUACUGAGUGUAUACUUUAUAGGGAAAUUUUCAGUUGUUUAAACUUUUGUAUUGUACUAAUGAUAUUUUCUGGUUAGUUUAUAGAAGAGGUUAAAUAAUAUUUAAUGACAGAAAAAUAUAAUUGUUUCUUUAUUUAUAAAAAAUUUCGUGAAAAAUGGUUAAAAAUGCACAAAAUUAAUAAAAAUUUUAAAAUAAUUUAUUUAAUAUUGAUUACAUAUAUAUUUAUAUAAUUAUUAACAGUUUUCAUCAACGUAUUUACAAGUGUUAAUUUAUUUUAUACUUCAACCGAGCAAUUUCAUAUUUUGUUUAUAAAACAUAUUAUUUAUAAAAUAUAAAUGUUAACAUUUAGAAUGACAUAUUAAAAAAGUAUUAAUCUUAAAAUGAGUACUUUGAAUAACUCUGUUAUAAUUUGUAAUGUAUCUCCAAAAUCAACAAAGAAAAAAACCCCUUUAGGAAUAAAAAAGUCAAGAAAAAAUGUAAAACGAACAUUCUAUGAAAGACCAUUGAAGUAUAUUCAAUUAAGGUAAUAAAAAAAAAAAUAAA